UACGUAGGGGGCUAGCGUUGUCCGGAAUCAUUGGGCGUAAAGAGCGUGUAGGCGGCCCGGUAAGUCCGCUGUAAAAGUCAAAGGCUCAACCUUUGAAUGUCAGUGGAUACUGCCGGGCUAGAGUCCGGAAGAGGCGAGUGGAACUCCUGGUGUAGCGGUGGAAUGCGCAGAUAUCAGGAGGAACACCGAAGGCGAAGGCAGUGUCCUGGCGAGUGACUGACGCUGAGGUGCGAAAGCCAGGGGAGCGAACGGG
rnacentral:rRNA from 1 species